GCAGGAAGUUGUACACAGUGUUUAAAAGCUGCUGCAGGACUGCAGACAUUCACAGGAAGCUGGACCAGCAAUGGCUCUGCUGAAGGUUCUGCUGCUGCUGCUGGGACUGGGUGUUUCAGUGAACUCAGAUGUUUCUCUGCAGAAGAGAAUCAUUGGAGGUCAAAACUGCCAUGACACGGAGCGUCUUUAUCAUGUUCGGCUGGAGAGCAGCAAUGGUACUCAUAUGAAGCGCUGUGGAGGAUCUCUGAUCCACCCUGAGUGGAUCCUGACUGCAGCUCACUGCUGGAAGUCAGAGCCAGGAUGGACUAAUGUAGCAAUGGUAAAAGUUCAUCCACGGACUGCUGGCGAGCAGCGACAGAUGAUCCAACAAUCUCCUGUGAUUUAUAUUAUCCACCGCCAGAAGCAUGACAUCAUGUUACUGAAACUUCAGACACCAGUAACAGAUGUCCCAGUUGCUCGGCUACCAGACUGCAGGUAUCGUCUUAAAAAAGGCGAUGUUGUUCAGCUGGCAGGAGAGGCAGCAACAACAGCCGGCCCCAAUAAUCAGCGAGUAAUCAGUGCUGCUAUUCCAGCACACCUUCAAUGUGUCGACAUGGAAGUUGUUGGUGUUUACCUCUUCUUGCCGUUAAGUGGGUCUAUAUUCCAUGUUAAAGCUCCGAACAAGGAUGUAUGCAAUGGCGACUCUGGUGGAGCAGCGAUGCUCGGUGACAAGAUUUAUGGUGUGAUUUCUUUUGGUGGAGUAUACUACGCAUGUCAGAGACCUGCUACAAUCUUGGAUGUGUGUGAAUACAAGGGCUGGAUUAGAAGAAAAACUGGGCUUAAAUAAACUAUCAUGAAAUAAAAUUCUCAUUAAAUUUCCUCUCACAUAUAAUUUUAUAAUUGUAUCUUCAUCAGUUUGAUCCACAUCUUAGUAGAAUUAGAAUAAAUAAAUAUAUUUUUUUUUCUCACCUGAUCUUGACCUCCCUAAUGGAGCUUUCUCUUCACCUCAGAAAUGAAAAAUAAAUCAAUAAAUGCAUGAAAAAGAAA